GAUGAACGCUGGCGGCGUGCCUAACACAUGCAAGUCGAGCGGCAGCGCGGGGUGCUUGCACCCUGUCGGCGAGCGGCGGACGGCUGAGUAACGCGUGGGAACGUGCCCCAAAGUGAGGAAUAACUGCCCGAAAGGGUAGCUAAUACCGCAUAUUAUCUUCGGAUCAAAGGAUUUAUCCGCUUUGGGAGCGGCUCGCGUCGGAUUAGGUAGUUGGUGAGGUAAUGGCUCACCAAGCCGACGAUCCGUAGCUGGUCUGAGAGGAUGACCAGCCAGACUGGAACUGGGACACGGUCCAGACUCCUACGGGAGGCAGCAGUGAUGAAUCUGCCACAAUGGGCGAGAGCCUGAUGGAGCAACGCCGCGUGAAGGACGAAGGCCUUCGGGUUGUAAACUGCUUUUAUAAGUGAGGAAUAUGACGGUAACUUAUGAAGAGAGAUCGCCUACCUACGG
rnacentral:rRNA from 1 species